AUGCAGCUCAACUACCGCGUGCCAAGCCCAUGCGUGAGUAAAUACGGCAGGCGCAGCUCAAUCCAUCAAGCCAUGGCAGACUUGCUCCUCCUAACCCUGCUUCCCUUGGCUCUCCUCUUCCUCCUCCUCCACCAUGCAUCGCCAAUCAAAGCCCUUCUCACGAGGGCCAAGUCGGUUCUGGCACCGGAGCUCUCCACGGUGUGGAAGCCACAGCCAGCUAGCAUCUUCGUCACGGACCCCGAGACGGCGCACAGCCUUCUCGUGCGCGGCAGCGCCGGUGGCUCCUUCUCCAACCGCCCACCGUCCAUUUCUCCCAGCGCCAUCCUCUCGCGCCGUCAAUACCAGAACAUCACCUCCGCUCCCUACGGUGAGCACUGGCGCGCCAUUCGUCACAACCUCACAUCGGAGGUCCUCCACCCAACGCAGCUCCACCGGCACGCGUCAGCGCGCCGCCGUGCACUACAUGGACUCGUCGUGGACCUCGCCGAGCAGAGGAAAAACGGCGUGGUUCACGCGGCGGAGAGCAUCCGCUACGCUAUGUUUGGCCUGGUGGCCAACAUGUGUUUCGGCGACGACAUCGACAAUAACCGCGUCCGUGCCAUGGCCGACGCUCAGAGUGACCUCGUCAAGUCCCUAUCUACGGCGCGCGUGUUCGCGCACGCGAAGCUCCCCGCACUGACCAGGCUCAUUUAUCGUAAUCGGUGGAGGAAGCUAGCCGCCCUGCGACAGCAGCAGGAGCAGACGUACCUACCACUCAUCGACUCCCGUCGCGGCCGGCACCGGCGACCCAGCGAGACGCCGGUGUAUGUGGACACGCUCAUCGAUCUCAAGGUGCCGGACGACCACAGUCAGGACCCAAGGCGGCAUCGAAGAAGGCUGUCCGAUGGUGAACUCGUCGGCAUGUGCUCCGAGUUCCUUGGUGCUGGAACUGAAACGACAGCAUCAGCGCUGCAGUGGAUCAUGGCCAACUUGGUGAAGCGUCCUGACAUACAGGAGGCCGUCCGGAAGGAGAUCAAUGCCGUCGUGGGUGCGGACGCCGAGGAAGUCAGCGAGGUUGUUCUUGGGAAGCUGGAGUACCUGCACGCUGUGAUCAUGGAGGCACUCCGGCUGCAUCCGCCGACGUCUUUUGCAUUCAGGCAGGUGAUGGAAGAGGAUCAUGUGGUUCACAAUGGCCGGCGUAUUCCAGUGGGCACAAAAGUGUACUUCCCACUGGCUGCUAUAGCACGAGACAGGACAGCGUGGGAUAACCCUGACGAGUUCAAGCCACAACGGUUCCUGUCCUGCAAGGAUGCAUCCCAAGGAACCGACGGCACGAUCAAAAUGAUGCCUUUCGGCGGUGGUCGGAGGAUGUGCCCUGGUAGGGGUGUCGCAAUGCUGCACUUAAGCUACUUCACCGCCAACCUUGUGAGGGAGUUCCGGUGGAGGGAGGGAGAAGGUGAGCUUGCUGUCGAUCUCCAGCCGCAUGUUGAGUUCUUCACUGUCAUGAAGCGGCCAUUGCGUGCUCACCUAGAGCUUGAAAGGACAGAGAUCAAAACUAGUUAA
rnacentral:rRNA from 1 species